rnacentral:rRNA from 1 species
UCAGGGUUCGAUUCCGGAGAGGGAGCAUGAGAAACGGCUACCACAUCCAAGGAAGGCAGCAGGCGCGCAAAUUACCCACUCCCGGCACGGGGAGGUAGUGACGAGACAUAACGAUGCGGACCUCUUUCGAGGUUCCGUAAUUGGAAUGAGUACACUUUAAACCCUAUAACGAGGAUCAAUUGGAGGGCAAGUCUGGUGCCAGCAGCCGCGGUAAUUCCAGCUCCAAUAGCGUAUACUAAAGUUGUUGCGUUUAAAAAGCUCGUAGUUGGAUCUCGGGUUUGGUUCGGCGGUCCUCCGUUUGGACGCGACUGCCGACUCCAGCCUAUUUUUCGGCUCUCCCUUGAUGCCCUUUACUGGGUGUCUUGGGUGGCCGAAGCGUUUACCUUGAAAAAAUUAGAGUG